rnacentral:rRNA from 1 species
AUUGAACGCUGGCGGCAUGCUUUACACAUGCAAGUCGAACGGUAACAGGGGAGCUUGCUCCCGCUGACGAGUGGCGAACGGGUGAGUAAUGCAUCGGAACGUACCGAGUAAUGGGGGAUAACUAUCCGAAAGGAUGGCUAAUACCGCAUACGAUCUUAGGAUGAAAGUGGGGGACCUUCGGGCCUCACGUUAUUCGAGCGGCCGAUGCCUGAUUAGCUAGUUGGUAGGGUAAAAGCCUACCAAGGCGACGAUCAGUAGCGGGUCUGAGAGGAUGAUCCGCCACACUGGGACUGAGACACGGCCCAGACUCCUACGGGAGGCAGCAGUGGGGAAUUUUGGACAAUGGGGGCAACCCUGAUCCAGCCAUGCCGCGUGUCUGAAGAAGGCCUUCGGGUUGUAAAGGACUUUUGUUAGGGAGGAAAAUUUAUCCAUUAAUACUGGGUAAAGCUGACAGUACCUAAAGAAUAAGCACCGGCUAACUACGUGCCAGCCGCCGCAGUAAAAC